UACGAAGGGGGCUAGCGUUGCUCGGAAUCACUGGGCGUAAAGCGCACGUAGGCGGUCUUUUAAGUCAGGGGUGAAAUCCUGGAGCUCAACUCCAGAACUGCCUUUGAUACUGGGAGACUUGAGUCCGGGAGAGGUGAGUGGAACUGCGAGUGUAGAGGUGAAAUUCGUAGAUAUUCGCAAGAACACCAGUGGCGAAGGCGGCUCACUGGCCCGGUACUGACGCUGAGGUGCGAAAGCGUGGGAGCAACAGGG
rnacentral:rRNA from 1 species